rnacentral:rRNA from 1 species
CUACGGGAGGCUGCAGUGGGGAAUAUUGCACAAUGGGCGCAAGCCUGAUGCAGCCAUGCCGCGUGUAUGAAGAAGGCCUUCGGGUUGUAAAGUACUUUCAGCGGGGAGGAAGGGAGUAAAGUUAAUACCUUUGCUCAUUGACGUUACCCGCAGAAGAAGCACCGGCUAACUCCGUGCCAGCAGCCGCGGUAAUACGGAGGGUGCAAGCGUUAAUCGGAAUUACUGGGCGUAAAGCGCACGCAGGCGGUUUGUUAAGUCCGAUGUGAAAUCCCCGGGCUCAACCUGGGAACUGCAUCUGAUACUGGCAAGCUUGAGUCUCGUAGAGGGGGGUAGAAUUCCAGGUGUAGCGGUGAAAUGCGUAGAGAUCUGGAGGAAUACCGGUGGCGAAGGCGGCCCCCUGGACGAAGACUGACGCUCAGGUGCGAAAGCGUGGGGAGCAAACAGGAUUCGAUACCCGAGUAGUC